GUUCAGGUCCAGGUUUACAGACCCUCAGGUUCAGGUCCAGGUUUACAGACCCUCAGGAGCAGGUCCAGGUUUACAGACCCUCAGGUCCAGGUCCAGGUUUACAGACCCU